CGCAAGGGCCAGUCGAGCGGCGAACGGGUGAGUAACGCGUGGAUAACCUGCCCUGAGGUGGGGAAUAACCCGGGGAAACUCGGGCUAAUACCGCAUGAUACCGAGAGGUCAAAGCGGGGUCGCAAGAUCUCGUGCCACAGGAGGGGUCCGCGUUCGAUUAGCUAGUUGGUAGGGUAAUGGCCUACCAAGGCGACGAUCGAUAGCCGGCCUGAGAGGGUGAUCGGCCACACUGGAACUGAGACACGGUCCAGACUCCUACGGGAGGCAGCAGUGGGGAAUUUCGCGCAGUGGGGGAAACCCUGACGCAGCAACGCCGCGUGGAGGAUGAAGGUCUUUGGAUUGUAAACUCCUGUCAGCAGGGAAAAAGCGACCGAUGCUCAUACCACCGGGAGUUGAUUGUACCUGCAGAGGAAGCCCCGGCUAACUCUGUGCCAGCAGCCGCGGUAAUACAGAGGGGGCAAGCGUUA
rnacentral:rRNA from 1 species